GAUGAACGCUGGCGGCGUGCCUAAUACAUGCAAGUCGAGCGAGUGGAUUAAGAGCUUGCUCUUAUGAAGUUAGCGGCGGACGGGUGAGUAACACGUGGGUAACCUGCCCAUAAGACUGGGAUAACUCCGGGAAACCGGGGCUAAAACCGGAUCACAUUUUGAACCGCAUGGUUCGAAAUUGAAAGGCGGCUUCGGCUGUCACCUAUGGAUGGACCCGAGUUGCAUUAGCUAGUUGGCGAGGUAACGGCUCACCGAGGCAACGGUGCUGAGCCGAACUGAGAGGGUGAUCGGCCACACUGGGAGUGAGACACGGCCCAGACUCCUACGGGAGGCAGCAGUAGGGAAUCUUCCGCAAUGGACAAAAGUCUGACGGAGCAACGCCGCGUGAGUGAUGAAGGCUUUCGGGUCGUAAAACUCUGUUGUUAGGGAAGAACAAGUGCUAGUUGAAUAAGCUGGCACCUUGACGGUACCUAACCAGAAAGCCACGGCUAACUACGUGCCAGCCGCCGCGGUAA
rnacentral:rRNA from 1 species